GACAUGAGGGUUCUGAGCGGCGCCGUGGAGGAAGGAGGAGACCCUCUGAGGUCAUGCAAGCAGGACUCUUCCUAAAUCCUACCGAAAAACUGAAUGGAGGAGGGUCAUGCCUCGGUUUCCCCAGCUGCAAGGGCAAGACGGACUCCAAGUACAGAAGACAGACUUGUGGACCACUUGAAUUGUGUCUUCCAAGAUCUUCAUAUGGCCCUUAGAUGCUUAUUAUCUGACACUGUCCUGACUCUUCACCAUACUAGGUUACCUCCUUACUAAGAACAUGCUCAAGUUUGUGGACACUCCCCCUGAAGUGUAAUGUCCAAAGCUGAACCCAAAGGCAGAUUCCAAGAAACUUAAACUUCAAGCUCCUUCUAACACCACAGGAGGAGUCCAAGAACUGCUUGAAGGCCUGCUAUCAUCUGGAUCACCGGGUGUUGUGACAAUAAGGUGGAGGGCCAGACACCUUAUCAGCAAAUGAAUGUGUCUCUCAGGAUCCAGCACAGAAGUAUACAGAGCUCAUAUAUUGCAGUGGUAUCAUCCCAAGAUGGAAGGAGCCUGGAUCCCUGCACCAUCACUUGGAGGAAAGCUGACUAACUGACAUAAGACUGUGAUGUAAUCAAGAAAUAAAAUGUUACAAUAAG